UACAGAGGGGGCAAGCGUUGUUCGGAAUUACUGGGCGUAAAGGGCGCGUAGGCGGCCUUCUAAGUCGAACGUGAAAUCCCCGGGCUCAACCCGGGAACUGCGUCCGAUACUGGAAGGCUUGAAUUCGGGAGAGGGAUGCGGAAUUCCAGGUGUAGCGGUGAAAUGCGUAGAUAUCUGGGGGAACACCGGUGGCGAAGGCGGCAUCCUGGACCGGCAUUGACGCUGAGGCGCGAAAGCCAGGGGAGCAAACGGG
rnacentral:rRNA from 1 species